UACGGGGGGUGCAAGCGUUAAUCGGAAUUACUGGGCGUAAAGCGUACGUAGGUGGUUUGUUAAGCCAGCUGUGAAAUCCCCGGGCUCAACCUGGGCACUGCAGUUGGAACUGGCGAGCUAGAGUAGGGUAGAGGGGUGUGGAAUUCCAGGUGUAACGGUGAAAUGCGUAGAUAUCUGGAGGAACAUCAGUGGCGAAGGCGACACCCUGGACUCAUACUGACACUGAGGUACGAAAGCGUGGGGAGCAAACAGG
rnacentral:rRNA from 1 species